UGCACUCACUACAGUAAGUCGCUUUGGAUAAGAGCGUCUGCUGAAUCACUAAAA
rfam:Salmo salar isolate Sally breed double haploid chromosome ssa25, whole genome shotgun sequence.